AUUGAACGCUGGCGGAAUGCUUUACACAUGCAAGUCGAACGGCAGCACGGGGGCAACCCUGGUGGCGAGUGGCGAACGGGUGAGUAAUACAUCGGAACGUGCCCAGUCGUGGGGGAUAACUACGCGAAAGCGUAGCUAAUACCGCAUACGAUCUACGGAUGAAAGCGGGGGAUCGCAAGACCUCGCGCGAUUGGAGCGGCCGAUGGCAGAUUAGGUAGUUGGUGAGGAAAGGCUCACCAAGCCUGCGAUCUGUAGCUGGUCUGAGAGGACGACCAGCCACACUGGGACUGAGACACGGCCCAGACUCCUACGGGAGGCAGCAGUGGGGAAUUUUGGACAAUGGGCGAAAGCCUGAUCCAGCCAUUCCGCGUGCAGGAUGAAGGCCCUCGGGUUGUAAACUGCUUUUGUACGGAACGAAAAGGCUUUCUCUAAUACAGAGAGCUCAUGACGGUACCGUAAGAAUAAGCACCGGCUAACUACGUGCCAGCAGCC
rnacentral:rRNA from 1 species